CUUGAUCGACCCCAGCCACAGCGGCUCCGCGCGAUCCUGUCCGUACGUCGCCAGCAGCGCCUGCGCCUC
rnacentral:antisense_RNA from 1 species